rnacentral:rRNA from 1 species
AGGCAGCAGUGAGGAAUAUUGGUCAAUGGGCUUACGCCUGAACCAGCCAAGUCGCGUGAGGGAAGACUGCCCUAUGGGUUGUAAACCUCUUUUGUCAGGGAGCAACGCCGGCUACGUGUAGCCGGACUGAGAGUACCUGAAGAAAAAGCAUCGGCUAACUCCGUGCC